rnacentral:rRNA from 1 species
CCUACGGGUGGCAGCAGUGAGGAAUAUUGGUCAAUGGACGAGAGUCUGAACCAGCCAAGUAGCGUGAAGGAUGACUGCCCGAUGGAUUGUAAACUGCGGUUAUAAAGGAAUAAAACGAGGCACGUGUGCCUUUUUGCAUGUACCUUAUGAAUAAGGAUCGGCUAACUCCGUGCCAGCAGCCGCGGUAAUACGGAGGAGCCGAGCGUUAUCCGGAUUUAUUGGGUUUAAAGGGAGCGUAGAUGGGUUUUUAAGUCAGUUGUGACAGUUUGCGGCUCAACCGUAAAAUUGCCAUUGAUACUGGCAGUCUUUAGUACAGUUGAGGUAGGCGGACUUCGUGUUGUAGCGG